rnacentral:rRNA from 1 species
GACGAACGCUGGCGGCGUGCCUAAUACAUGCAAGUCGAGCGAACAGACGAGGAUCUUGCUGCUCUGACGUUAGCCGAGGACGGGUGAGUAACACGUGUAUCAUCUACUUGAAAGAGUGGGAUAACUUCGGGAAACCGGAUCUAAUACCGUAGAAUAUAUUGAUGCGCAUGGGUCAAUAGUGAGUGACGGUUUUGCUGUCAGUUAUAGAUGGUUCCGCGCCGCAUUAGCUAGUUGGUACGGUCACGGCUUACGAAGGCGAGGAUGCGUAGCCGACCUGAGGGGGUGGUCGGCCACACUGGAAGUGAGACACGGUACAGUAUCCUACGGGAGGCAGCCGGAGGGAUUCUUCCGCAAUGAGCGGAAGCCUGACGAAGCUACGCCGCGUGAGUGAUGAGGAUCUCCGGAUCGGAAAACUCUGUUAUUGGGGUAGAACAAAUGUGUAAGUAACUAUGCGCGUCUUGACGGUAACUAGGCAGAAAGGCACGGCUUACUACGGG